GAUGAACGCUAGCGAUAGGCUUAACACAUGCAAGUCGAGGGGCAGCACAAGGUAGCUUGCUAUCUGGGUGGCGACCGGCGCACGGGUGCGUAACGCGUAUGCAACUUGCCCUAUACAGGAGGAUAACCCGUCGAAAGACGGACUAAUACUGCGUAUGCUCACAACUUGGCAUCAAGUGGUGAGGAAAGAAAUUCGGUAUAGGAUAGGCAUGCGUCCCAUUAGCUUGUUGGUGAGGUAACGGCUCACCAGGGCAACGAUGGGUAGGGGAACUGAGAGGUUUAUCCCCCACACUGGUACUGAGACACGGACCAGACUCCUACGGGAGGCGGCAGUGAGGAAUAUUGGUCAAUGGGCGCGAGCCUGAACCAGCCAAGUCGCGUGAAGGAUGACUGUCUUAUGGAUUGUAAACUUCUUUUAUACGGGAAUAACAAGAGUCACGUGUGACUCCCUGCAUGUACCGUAUGAAUAAGCAUCGGCUAACUCCGUG
rnacentral:rRNA from 1 species